rnacentral:rRNA from 1 species
GAUGAACGCUGGCUACAGGCUUAACACAUGCAAGUCGUGGGGAAACGGCAUUAUGUGCUUGCACAUUCUGGACGUCGACCGGCGCACGGGUGAGUAUCGCGUAUCCAACCUGCCCCUUACUUGGGGAUACCCCGUUGAAAGACGGCCUAAUACCCGAUGUGUUUCAUUGACGGCAUCCGAUAUGAAACAAAGGUUUUCCGGUAAGGGAUGGGGAUGCGUCUGAUUAGCUUGUUGGCGGGGCAACGGCCCACCAAGGCUACGAUCAGUAGGGGUUCUGAGAGGAAGGUCCCCCACAUUGGAACUGAGACACGGUCCAAACUCCUACGGGAGGCAGCAGUGAGGAAUAUUGGUCAAUGGACGCAAGUCUGAACCAGCCAAGUAGCGUGCAGGAUGACGGCCCUAUGGGUUGUAAACUGCUUUUAUGUGGGAAUAAAUUGGCGCACGUGUGCGCCAU